GAUAUCCUUUUACUUGCUCUCCAUAUCUGAGCAAUACCAAAGGCCUGACAUUUGAUUCGAGCUUCCUCCUUGACUACAUGUCCAUGAGCAAGACAACCAACACGUCAAAGAUGAGCCACCUUUGGCUCUCUGCCUGUCCAGGCUUCACAUGGAGUCUUCCCAACUACCAACUUGGUUGGGGAUCGAUUCCUCAGAAAUCGCUAUGGACGAGUCCUGGCCUCUCGCUUGCUCGCCUCUGAGCCUGUUUGGGAAAGGAAGAUCUGUGCAUUUUCCCCAGCACACAAGACUUACACAUGCCAUGCGAGCUCCAAGAUGUCAAAUCCAUUCCCGAGACCAUAUUCCUCUUCAUCAGCUCCUCCGGGCCACUUUCUCCCAGAUGUCCUAAGGGUUGGUGCCACCUACGAACGCUCAUCCCGGCCUUAUCCUCUUUCUUGGACACCAUGGCUCUUGGUGUUUCUUUGGCAUGAUCCAAAUGAUAAAGCCCAUUCACUAA